rnacentral:rRNA from 1 species
CAGUAGCCCGGUAAUACGAAAGGUCCAAGCGUUACUCGGAAUUACUGGGCGUAAAGCGCGCGUAGGCGGUUUUGUAUGUCCAUUGUGAAAGCCCCGGGCUCAACCUGGGAACUGCAGUCGAAACUGCAGGACUUGAAUGUUGGAGAGGUUGGGGGAAUACCUAGUGGAGAAGUGAAAUUCGUAGAGAUUAGGUGGAACACCAGAGGCGAAGGCGCCUGACUGGCCAAACAUUGACGCUAAGGCGCGAAAACGUGGGUAGCAAACAGGAUUAGAUACCCCUGUAGUCCCUGUCUCUUAUACA